rnacentral:misc_RNA from 1 species
UCGCGGCUUAUCACCGGCAGUCCCCUUAGAGUGCCCAACUAAAUGCUGGCAACAUGCGACGGGGGUUGCGCUCGUUGCGGGACUUAACCCAACAUCUCACGACACGAGCUGACGACAGCCAUGCACCACCUGUGAUCCUGCCCCGAAGGGAAACCCUGUUUCCAGGGUGGUCAGGAACAUGUCAAGCCCAGGUAAGGUUCUUCGCGUUGCGUCGAAUUAAACCACAUGCUCCGCUGCUUGUGCGGGUCCCCGUCAAUUCCUUUGAGUUUUAGCCUUGCGGCCGUACUCCCCAGGCGGGGCACUUAAUGCGUUAGCUUCGGCACGGAGGGAGUCGACACCCCCCACACCUAGUGCCCAUCGUUUACAGCGUGGACUAC